rnacentral:rRNA from 1 species
UGCGUAGGCGGGUUUCUAAGUCAGAGGUGAAAGCCUGGAGCUCAACUCCAGAACUGCCUUUGAUACUGGAAGUCUUGAGUAUGGCAGAGGUGAGUGGAACUGCGAGUGUAGAGGUGAAAUUCGUAGAUAUUCGCAAGAACACCAGUGGCGAAGGCGGCUCACUGGGCCAUUACUGACGCUGAGGCACGGAAAGCGUGGGGAGCAAACA